AAGCACAUAGUGUUGCUUCUCCAAUAAUAAGCACAUAGUGUGGCUUCUACAGUUAAUAAGCACAUAGUGUAGCUUCUACAGUUAAUAAGCACAUAGUGUGGCUUCUACAGUAACAAGCACAUAGUGUGGCUUCUACAGAAACAAGCCUGUAGUGUGCCCUGUGUAGCAGUGGAGCUUGGGGACUUGAACGGCUGCAGGAACGGGGGGACUAGGAAGAAAUGCUCAGAGAACCCAAGGGUGAAGUGGGGAGAGUGAUAGGCGCUCUUGAUGCCGAGUCAGUCAUUAGCCACUAGAGGGCACUGCAAGAGCACGUCCCAGACAAACCCCAUACCUUAGACCCCACCCCCCACCCCCCAAGCCUCCCUACUGGAGACUGGCUGCCUGAAGCUGAUGACUUGACACCCUCCUGGGAGUUCAGAGAACCAGAGGAAGAGAAAGUCUGGGCAAGAAAUUGUCCACCACCCAGAGAGUCCCUCAAGGGGCACACACACGGCAGGUAGAGGAAGACAGUGGCCAUUCCGAGACUCGACAGCCACAAGCUCACUCACUGCUGCUCCCAGUAGAAAGAAAACUUCACUCUGAAAGGGAUCAAGAUGGCCAUGGUGCAAAUUAUAAACCAAGUACUCGGCAGUAGGAGGCCAGGACACCAAGAGCUUCUGGCCAGCCUGGGUUACAUGGAAAUCUCAAGCAAACACAAAGGAGAAAAAGAGAGCAAAAGUUGGAGGGCCGAGCCACACUAUGUGCUUAUUAUAAAAGACACACUGUGUGCUUAUUACUGUAGCACGUGUCAAGGUCAGUGUGCAAGGAUCUGCCUUUGUAGUGGGGAUGAAGCAGAGGCUGCAUCUUCCCAUCUCCAGAGGAAGACACCAAGCAUAGAAAGAAUCAAACAAACAAACCGCUUUUGGAAAGCUUACACUAACUAUCAGGCCCAAAGAGGCUCGAGAUGUGUAGCCUACAAUACUGCCCCCCUGCUAGCAUUUCUAGCUGCACUUUGUUCCAUUUAUACAGCAAGUUUGAGAGUGGUGUGUUUUUGUCCACCUUGAGGAUACCGCUUUGUCUUCUAUUUCUGGGAAGGGACACACAGUGUUCACUCUUGGCUUGAGCCUUACUUAGGAUUGUAGGGCCAUUGUUUCUGUGGACCAGGUGCCCCUUGAAGGAAAUUUUGCUGGUGUGUCCAGAGAUGGCCCCCGUGAGCAACUGUUAAAGUUCAUUUUCCAGCAGAAACUAUAAACAGACGAGCUGUUCUCGUUCUCUCUCUCUCUCUCUCUCUCUCUCUCUCUCUCUCUCUCUCUCUCACUGCCCUCAAAUGUAGUUUAAAACCAACUCUCUCCCAUAAUGAGAUUACAGCCAAUUUUCCCCCUCUCAUUAGAUAAAUAGUUCUAAACUAGGAUCCUUGAUAUAAAAAAAAAAAGAUUAUAGCAAUGGUGGUUCCCCAUUUGAAUGUAUUUUGAGCUCAAGGCUCACUCAGGCAAAUUUCCAUCCCUUGCAAAUCACCACCAUUAUGCAAAUCAGGACACCCUUAUUGGCAUGCGAAUGUAAAAUGGAUGUUUGUUUUCAAGAUGAUGGAUUAUCUUUCCUGGUAGGGAUGCUUCGAAAAAUCUGUGAAGGGGUUCGUGUUUGUUUUCUAGAUGUUUCUGUAGGUUCUGUGGGUUGCUAACAUGGGCAACAUGGGGGGUGUAGCUCGCCAGGUCUAGACUCUCCAUCUUUUGGUGAAAGCCUCCUUGGGGUUCCGUACCGUGAAUCUCUUUCCGUGUAGCAGAAAUUCUGUCAACCAGGAGUUAUAGAGGGUGAGAGUUAGGGUUAAGGUUAUAGUAGUAAUAGAGGGUUAUAGUAAGGCUAAAACUCUGCUUUUGCUGUACCAGAAAGCUCUCUGCUGACUUCAGGGUCUUCUGAGUGCUUGCUAGAGAGCCAAGUGGCUUCUCAGAGUGAAUGCAUACUUCGUUAUACUGCUGUGUGGCUUACUAAUUGAAUAUACCCAUUCCAUCCUGUCAUUAAGUAUAGACGUUUCCUGGACAGGGGCUUCUAAGGGCUUAGCUCUUUCAUGGAGGAGUUGUCCUUGAGAAACCCACCCUGUAUUCCAGGGGAAUCUGAGCUUGGAGAAAUUUCGUAUAAUGUUGGGGUAACAUGGCUUGGGAGUGGUAGAAACAGGACAGAUACCCAGGUCCUGCUUCCACACAUUUCUUUUAAAUGUUUUUAUAUUUACUUGUUCAUGUGGGGUGGUGUGUGUGUGUGUAUAUGCACGAGUGUGUGCAUGCAUGUGUUCAUGCCACAGUACAGAGGCAGAGGUCAGAGGACACCUUACGGGAGUACAUUCUCUCCUUCUACUGAAUGGGUCCUGGGGAUUGAACUCGGGUCAUUGAGCUUGGCAGCAAGUGCUUUUAGCCAUUGAGCCAUCCAGCACCAGCACCACAUUAUCUCUAAAGGGGAACUUCUAGUUGGAGCCGUGCGUGCUAAGCAAAGCAGAUUUCCUGCUCAGGGAACAGUGCCUGGAAAGGCACGUAGACAGAGAUGUGUGAACCUGAGUGAGUUUAUUUUUCGUGUCGCUGUGACAGAAUGAUUGUCAGAGGCAACUUAAGCCAUGGCUCUGGGGACAGUGCUUCGUGGCAAGGAAGGCACGGUAGUGGGAGAGAGGAAGCUGGGGUAGGCAUGGAGAACAAACCAGUAAGCUUUGGUAAGCAGUGUUUCUCCAUUGUUGGCUGGCUGCUAGUUUUGUUUUGCUUCCUGCUUUUACCUUGACUUCCUGCCUUCGCUUCUCUCAGAUGAUGGACUGUAACCUGCAAACAAACCCCACCUACCUCCAAAUUGUUUGGGGUCAGGGGGUUUAUCUCAGCAACAGGAAACUAAGCUAGAGCAGGCUCCUCCCCGCCCUGGGACCUUAUCCGCAUCCAUCCACCCCAGACUUCGAAGGGACCGUGCUGGGGCGAGAGGCCUAGCAGAGAUGGAAUAUCUUUCCCAGGCUGAGACUAGGAAGUCCCUUGUUACCGUGUGACAUCUCAAUUUUGGUUAUUCUGGGUCCUUUUAUCUUCUUUUGAGGACAGCAGGCUGAUGUUCUUGUUGGGAGAUAACCAUUUUCCCAAUUUCCCAUUUUUUCUAGGUGCCCCGUUCUUUCUGAGAUUAUGAGGGUAUGUGUCUUAGUCAGGGUUCCUAUUCCUGCACAAACAUCAUGACCAAGAAGUAAGCUGGGGAGGAAAGGGUUUAUUCAGCUUACACUUCCACAUUGCUGUUUUAUUACCAAAGGAAGUCAGGACUGGAACUCAAGCAGGUCAAGAAGCAGGAGCUGAUGCAGAGGCCAUGGAGGGAUGUUACUUACUGGCUUGCUUCCCCUGGGUUGCUCAGCUUGCUCUGUUGUAGAACCCAGGACCACCAGCCCAGGGAUGGCGCCACCCACAGUGGGCUGGGCCCUCCUCCCUUGACCACUAAUUGAGAAAAUGCCUUACAGCUGGGUCUCAUGAAGGCGUUUCCACAACUGAGGCUCCUUUUCUGUGAUAACUCCAGCUUGUGUCAAGUUGACGCACAAAACCAGCGAGUACAGUAUAGCGCUCUCCCUCCUCCCUAGAAUUUAAUUCUUAAAAAAACAACCGAAUUGUCAAAGGAGGCACGAAUUGAUUUCAUUCCAGAAAGGCCCAGGAAGAUAACCACGUGCUUUCUUUCUGCUAUGGGAUCCAUGAAGGUGACCUCAGCAGAAUGUGUCCUUUAGGCUUCCUGCUAACCCCAGGAACAUCCCAGAGCCCCCGUGAUACAGUUUCUAUCAAGCAGACACAGAGGAAAAGUACGUACUUCCUCUCUAGGAUUAGGCUGUCCGGUUCUAUGUGUCAGUUAAAAAAUUAGUCUGUGGUAUGGACUCGGCUUUUUUGUUUUGUUUUUGAAUGAGAAUGUUUCCACAGACUCAGGCAUUUGAACACUUGGGUCCCAGUCUAUGGCACCAUUGAUGGCCUUGCUGGAGGACUUUUGUCACUGGAGUGGGCUUUGAGAAUAUAUGCGACUGUCUCUUUUCCCCCCAUUUUAAGAAUGUCUUUAUGCGUAUGGGUGUACGUCUCUGCCCUGUGUGCGUGCCUAGUGCCUUUUGAGGCAAGAAAGGGACAUUGGGACUCCUAGGACUAGAGUCACGGACAGUUGUGAGCCUUCAUGUGGGUUACUGAGACUUGAACCUGGGUUUCCCGGAGGAUCAACAGUGUUCUUAACCACGGAGACACUUCUUCAUACAUGCACAGGACGUCUUAUUUUAUUGUAAAUUGAGCAGGCUAAGCUCACAGCAAUAGGGACAAGAGUGGAGAAGCAUUUAUCAGCACCAUCUUGGUGGCAGUAGUAACACCAAUAGAGGUGACAAGAGAGUGGCUGAAGUGUUCUCGAGAGAAGCAGGAACAGAGCAGUGAGAAGCAGAGGUGGUGGUGGUGGUGUGUUUAACUGGGACAGCAGAAGCAUUCAGCAGUGGGAAAGAUGGGAGACCGGAGAGACCUUGGACCCAGGAUCAGAGAAAGGUGAUGGCGGUAGAGACGCAAAACCAUGGCGGGAUAGCAAACUUUCUAGUAAGCCUGUCUACAGUCAGAUGCCUAUAUAGUUUAAACUAGCCAGUGGCUAAUUUAUCAUUUGACAUUUGGCCUUGAUGAAAGGGGGGGGGCGCCCGUCACCCUUGGAAAUGGCUCUAGCAUCAAUCAUGUAGGAGUUGCCAUGCGCGAGCCUCGGAGAGGAUCAUGCGCAGAUGGAUCAGACCGUUUGAAAAGCGAUCAUUUGUUGUUUACAGCUCAAAGCGAUUCAGCCACAAAACGCAGGACCCAGUGAGUCCUUAACCUUUAUCAGUAAGUGGCAAAAAUAGCUGAAUAUGGUUUCCAAAGUCCAGGGAGACGAUAGUGGCCUCAGAAAGAAGAUAAUUAAUCCUAGCGCUUGGGAGGUUGAAGCAAGGUGGAUUGCUCCAAGUUUGAGGCUAGCCUGGUCUCCGUGGCUCCAGCUUCGGAAAUCAGAGCAGAGUCUAAGGAGUCCCUGACCAGGGCAGUGGAAGACGACAUGGCAUAUAAUGUGGAGGGUAGCUCCAUGAUGGGGUGGGGCAAGAUCUGUGAGAAACCUUCUGCCAGGAGUGAGUAGGUGCAUAUGGAAGGGAGAGGUAAGUAUGUCAACCAUCCAAACCCAGGCCAGAAACCAGGAAGUUUCGGGAAGCCCAGAGGAGUGGGGCUAUCCUCGGGAUGGGCGUGGUCAUCCUCAGGAUGGGCGUGGCUGUCAGAAUGCGAAGCAGAACAGUGUAUUCAACAGAAUCACCCCCCAUUCCUCCCCAGAACGUCCUACCCCUUGAACCUUCUGUGGGCUCACCUAAGUAGAACAUGGAGGUGAAAGCAACUUUCCUGCUGAUUGUCACUGUUCUACUGAGCUGGAGCAGGGCGAGCAUUGGGACACAGCCCCCAACCAACCCGACAUGGACCCAGGCUUCAAUUCGUUGCUCUUCUCCGAAGUCAGAGACAUAGUGGAACGCAUACACUUAGGGAAAAAUGAUUUUUUUCCGAUCCCUGUUAGUGCCCACAUGUUUUGCUAUUAGAUAAUAAUUAAAGAGGGGAGAAACUAUAUUUAUGCUCAUUUAUUAUCAAGGGUGAGCACUGGCCCGAGGAACCCGCAUUUUCUUUUCUUGCUUAGUGGAGGCGCUGAGCUUUUGGGAGGCAAAUGCUGUUUAUUCAACGGGUUAGGCGAAGCGAUUCAAAUUAGUUUUUAAUGGUGCUUAUUAAUUUGAUAUCUUGGGACUUCCUGAGCACGUCUGAUGUUGCUGGGGAAACAGACUUGUCUUCCAUUUGUGAUCCUAUCAGCUGAUUUGGUGUAGGGUUAGUGGGGUCCCGAGUCUGCUCUGCCACAGGGCUCGACUGUUCAGGGAGGCAGGACUCGGUUGACCGCGUUUACCCGGUGCCGUGGCCAGGCCUACUAUCUGUCAACCGAGCCCUAGAUUCCCAUUAGGACGUGUCCUCCGAUUUCUUUUUCUUUCUUUUCAGUUUUCAAAGGACAUUCGUUACAUCUGAGGGGCAUGGAGAGGCUGUAGUGUGACCUGCAGAAAGCAGAUGCCUGAACUGCCACGUGCUACCACUAGGAGGCACUGCAGGCCCACCGAUGUGCCUCGUCGCCGCACCUGCUGCCUCUGCCCAAGCCAUCUGGGUGCCCUGGACCCACCGAGAAGCACAGCUGUGUUCUCCAGCUGUGCAAAAGGAAAUGGUUGACACAGUCGCCCCUGCCCCCCGCUUGGCCCCUCACUACCUUGGUGCCAUUAAAAUAGCAAUAGUGACAUA